GGCUUAGAGUUUGAUCCUGGCUCAGAUUGAACGCUGGCGGAAUGCUUUACACAUGCAAGUCGAACGGCAGCACGGGGGCAACCCUGGUGGCGAGUGGCGAACGGGUGAGUAAUACAUCGGAACGUGCCCAGUCGUGGGGGAUAACGUAGCGAAAGCUACGCUAAUACCGCAUACGAACUCUGGUUGAAAGCGGGGGAUCGCAAGACCUCGCGCGAUUGGAGCGGCCGAUGGCAGAUUAGGUAGUUGGUGGGGUAAAGGCUCACCAAGCCGACGAUCUGUAGCUGGUCUGAGAGGACGACCAGCCACACUGGGACUGAGACACGGCCCAGACUCCUACGGGAGGCAGCAGUGGGGAAUUUUGGACAAUGGGCGCAAGCCUGAUCCAGCCAUUCCGCGUGCAGGAUGAAGGCCCUCGGGUUGUAAACUGCUUUUGUACGGAACGAAAAGGCCUGAGUUAAUACCUCGGGCUCAUGACGGUACCGUAAGAAUAAGCACCGGC
rnacentral:rRNA from 1 species